rnacentral:misc_RNA from 1 species
AAAAAGCAUUGCAAUUUUAUCCUAGAUUGUUAUUGUGAACUCAACCACACUUAUUAGUAACAAUAUACUAACUGGAAAAACAUUAUGAAUAACAACCUGAAAGUAAACGUGCAUCAUCAUCAUAUUUGAUUAGCUUUCAGGCUGUUGACUGGAGGUGUAUGCAUGCAAACUUCCGGAACUCAUUUAGAAAAACCCUCGGAAGAUUGAACUUCCGGGGGUUUUUUCGUUUAUA